rnacentral:rRNA from 1 species
AGAGUUUGAUCCUGGCUCAGGACGAACGCUGGCGGCACGCUUAACACAUGCAAGUCGAACGAGAGAAGAGGAGCUUGCUUUUCUGAUCUAGUGGCGGACGGGUGAGUAACACGUGAGCAAUCUGCCUUUCAGAGGGGGAUACCGAUUGGAAACGAUCGUUAAUACCGCAUAACAUAAUUGAACCGCAUGAUUUGAUUAUCAAAGAUUUAUCGCUGAAAGAUGAGCUCGCGUCUGAUUAGCUAGUUGGUAAGGUAACGGCUUACCAAGGCGACGAUCAGUAGCCGGACUGAGAGGUUGAUCGGCCACAUUGGGACUGAGACACGGCCCAGACUCCUACGGGAGGCAGCAGUGGGGAAUAUUGCACAAUGGAGGAAACUCUGAUGCAGCGAUGCCGCGUGAGGGAAGAAGGUUUUAGGAUUGUAAACCUCUGUCUUCAGGGACGAAAAAAGACGGUACCUGAGGAGGAAGCUCCGGCUAACUACGUGCCAGCAGCCGCGGUAAUACGUAGGGAGCGAGCGUUGUCCGGAAUUACUGGGUGUAAAGGGAGCGUAGGCGGGAUCGCAAGUCAGAUGUGAAAACUAUGGGCUUAACCCAUAAACUGCAUUUGAAACUGUGGUUCUUGAGUGAAGUAGAGGUAAGCGGAAUUCCUAGUGUAGCGGUGAAAUGCGUAGAUAUUAGGAGGAACAUCAGUGGCGAAGGCGGCUUACUGGGCUUUAACUGACGCUGAGGCUCGAAAGCGUGGGGAGCAAACAGGAUUAGAUACCCUGGUAGUCCACGCCGUAAACGAUGAUUACUAGGUGUGGGGGGACUGACCCCUUCCGUGCCGCAGCAAACGCAAUAAGUAAUCCACCUGGGGAGUACGACCGCAAGGUUGAAACUCAAAGGAAUUGACGGGGGCCCGCACAAGCAGUGGAGUAUGUGGAUUAAUUCGAAGCAACGCGAAGAACCUUACCAGGUCUUGACAUCGUAUGCAUAGCUCAGAGAUGAGUGAAAUCUCUUCGGAGACAUAUAGACAGGUGGUGCAUGGUUGUCGUCAGCUCGUGUCGUGAGAUGUUGGGUUAAGUCCCGCAACGAGCGCAACCCUUACUGUUAGUUGCUACGCAAGAGCACUCUAGCAGGACUGCCGUUGACAAAACGGAGGAAGGUGGGGAUGACGUCAAAUCAUCAUGCCCCUUAUGACCUGGGCCUCACACGUACUACAAUGGCUGUCAACAGAGGGAAGCAAAGCCGCGAGGUGGAGCGAACCCCUAAAAGCAGUCUUAGUUCGGAUUGUAGGCUGCAACCCGCCUACAUGAAGUCGGAAUUGCUAGUAAUCGCAGAUCAGCAUGCUGCGGUGAAUACGUUCCCGGGCCUUGUACACACCGCCCGUCACGCCAUGGGAGUCGGUAACACCCGAAGCCUGUAGUCUAACCGCAAGGAGGACGCAGUCGAAGGUGGGAUUGAUGACUGGGGUGAAGUCGUAACAAGGUAGCCGUAUCGGAAGGUGCGGCUGGAUCACCUCCUUUCU